GAUGAACGCUGGCGGCGUGCCUAAUACAUGCAAGUCGAGCGAACGGACGAGAAGCUUGCUUCUCUGAUGUUAGCGGCGGACGGGUGAGUAACACGUGGAUAACCUACCUAUAAGACUGGGAUAACUUCGGGAAACCGUAGCUAAUACCGGAUAAUAUUUUGAACCGCAUGGUUCAAAAGUGAAAGACGGUCUUUCUGUCACUUAUAGAUGGAUCCGCGCUGCAUUAGCUAGUUGGUAAGGUAACGGCUUACCAAGGCAACGAUGCAUAGCCGACCUGAGAGGGUGAUCGGACACCCUGGAACAGAGGCACAGCACAGACUCCUACGGGAGGAAGCAGUAGGGAAUCUUCCGCAAUGGGCGAAAGCCUGACGGAGCAACGCCGCGUGAAUGCUGAAGGUCUUCGGAUCGUAAAACUCUGUUAUUAGGGAAGAACAUAUGUGUAAGUAACUGUGAACAUAUUGACGGUACCUACUCAGAAAGCCACGGCUAACUACGUG
rnacentral:rRNA from 1 species